AGAGUUUGAUCAUGGCUCAGGACGAACGCUGGCGGCACGCUUAACACAUGCAAGUCGAACGAGAGAAGAGGAGCUUGCUUUUCUGAUCUAGUGGCGGACGGGUGAGUAACACGUGAGCAAUCUGCCUUUCAGAGGGGGAUACCGAUUGGAAACGAUCGUUAAUACCGCAUAACAUAAUUGAACCGCAUGAUUUGAUUAUCAAAGAUUUAUCGCUGAAAGAUGAGCUCGCGUCUGAUUAGCUAGUUGGUAAGGUAACGGCUUACCAAGGCGACGAUCAGUAGCCGGACUGAGAGGUUGAUCGGCCACAUUGGGACUGAGACACGGCCCAGACUCCUACGGGAGGCAGCAGUGGGGAAUAUUGCACAAUGGAGGAAACUCUGAUGCAGCGAUGCCGCGUGAGGGAAGGAGGUUUUAGGAUUGUAAACCUCUGUCUUCAGGGACGAAAAAAGACGGUACCUGGGGAGGAAGCUCCGGCUAACUACGUGCCAGCAGCCGCGGUAAUACGUAGGGAGCGAGCGUUGUCCGGAAUUACUGGGUGUAAAGGGAGCGUAGGCGGGAUCGCAAGUCAGAUGUGAAAACUAUGGGCUUAACCCAUAAACUGCAUUUGAAACUGUGGUUCUUGAGUGAAGUAGAGGUAAGCGGAAUUCCUAGUGUAGCGGUGAAAUGCGUAGAUAUUAGGAGGAACAUCAGUGGCGAAGGCGGCUUACUGGGCUUUAACUGACGCUGAGGCUCGAAAGCGUGGGGAGCAAACAGGAUUAGAUACCCUGGUAGUCCACGCCGUAAACGAUGAUUACUAGGUGUGGGGGGACUGACCCCUUCCGUGCCGCAGCAAACGCAAUAAGUAAUCCACCUGGGGAGUACGACCGCAAGGUUGAAACUCAAAGGAAUUGACGGGGGCCCGCACAAGCAGUGGAGUAUGUGGAUUAAUUCGAAGCAACGCGAAGAACCUUACCAGGUCUUGACAUCGUAUGCAUAGCUCAGAGAUGAGUGAAAUCUCUUCGGAGACAUAUAGACAGGUGGUGCAUGGUUGUCGUCAGCUCGUGUCGUGAGAUGUUGGGUUAAGUCCCGCAACGAGCGCAACCCUUACUGUUAGUUGCUACGCAAGAGCACUCUAGCAGGACUGCCGUUGACAAAACGGAGGAAGGUGGGGAUGACGUCAAAUCAUCAUGCCCCUUAUGACCUGGGCCUCACACGUACUACAAUGGCUGUCAACAGAGGGAAGCAAAGCCGCGAGGUGGAGCGAACCCCUAAAAGCAGUCUUAGUUCGGAUUGUAGGCUGCAACCCGCCUACAUGAAGUCGGAAUUGCUAGUAAUCGCAGAUCAGCAUGCUGCGGUGAAUACGUUCCCGGGCCUUGUACACACCGCCCGUCACGCCAUGGGAGUCGGUAACACCCGAAGCCUGUAGUCUAACCGCAAGGAGGACGCAGUCGAAGGUGGGAUUGAUGACUGGGGUGAAGUCGUAACAAGGUA
rnacentral:rRNA from 1 species